ACACGUGUGCUCCAAGAGCUGCGCUGCUGGGUUGUCCAGGUUGGUCAUUAACAGCAUGUUCAGAGCUUGGAAUUUGGCUGGCUGCAAGGUCAUGGCAUGGUUAACAGGAGUGAUGCUGCACUGAGCAUCCCCUGGCUAACAGUCCUGCAGAAGCACACAUGGUGCAGUAAGUGAGAUCUAAUUCUUCUCUCCCAAGGAAGGAAGAAUUCUUCAUCGAGUUGCUUUUUACAAGUGAUGUAGCUCUGAGAAACUAUGAGGACAGAGAAGCCAGCCACCCUGGAACUGUGUAAAUAGCUGCCUCUGAAGAUGCUGCUCUGGGAGCUCCCACCUCAGACACUUUUUAAUUUUUUGUUUUAUCUUUCCUACAUUACUCAUUCCUACAUUUAUCUUUCCUACACUGCACCCAAAACCUCAUAGAAGAAGUUACUUUGCAGAACUGAAGCCUUCACUUUCAUACCUAGCAAGACAUUCAAUGCACCUAGAGGUGUAGAGCUUGACGUCGGAUAUUUCCAGCCUCUUAGAAAGCCAAGUGAAGAGAGGUUUCUAAAUGAAAACUCUUUGCCAGACCUUUAUUGUCAUUUCUUUUUGCCAAGAGAUGCUCUCUCCAGCUGUCCAUUCCCACGUCUCAUGAGCCUGGCUGUUCACAUCAUUGCAGUGGAUGGGAGCGGGGCACUGAGGCUGGGGCUGCCCUGGGUGCCCUUCCAAGCUGUGAGGUGUCCCUGGGAGUCCCAACCAAGGGGUUCAGCUUCAGGGCUGUGCCAUUCAAACCAAGCAUUACCGCUGGGAACUACUUUGCUAGCCGAGUAAAUGUGUGCUCUUGUUAGGAUGACACAUUAUUGAUGCUCUGGAGGGUUUUCCAUCGACCCCGUGAUUUUUAUGCUGUGCCACCAACAGCCACAGUAUUUAGGAGUGGCUUCAGUAACGCCAACACGCAGCACCCCACUCCGUCCUCUCCGGGGUCCUUCAUCUUCGGAGUCACUAGGUGGCAACCUAAGGCAUCCUUUGUAUUUGGAGAGGUUUUGCGGGAGGUGGAAACGCGUCUCCUCCUGCCUUGCAUUGCUCCCCCUUCUUUCUUUCUUUUUUUUAUCCUGAAUUACUGACAGGCACUCAAAGCAUUGCUUUCCCCAUGCUCUUCAGCCUCUGAGGGCAGAGGGAGCUUCUGGAUCUGCUUUGUCCCAAACUACAAGGCAAACGUGAGCAGGUGACCACACGACGUAAAAAGAAAUAGGAUGAAGUUUCCAAGUGGAAAAAGUGAUUGAGGGGAAGAAGAGUCCCUGUUACUGGCUAAUGGGCUGUUGAGAUAUCACACUGUGGAAAUCCCGAAUUUGGGUCCUGCUGGGGAUGUCUGUAUCUAGGUUAAUAGGAAUUCUUCGUUGAGUGCACGAUCUGAGUGUGGUUUUGCUUUCAUUCCCUAGCCACAUUUUGAGAGUUCUUUCCCUGGACCUUGUAACAGAAAAGCCUAAUUUUUUAAUUUUAUCUUUUCAAAGGAGGAUGCAUAUGUUCUGCCUAGCAGCGUAAAACCCAUUGCACAGCUGCAGUCUGUAGAACCUAGCCAGUGUUAGAACGGGGAAUGUUUUUCCCCCAGGUUUCCUGUGGCGCUGUCAUGAUCAAGGCCUGGUCAUCCUGGUCCCCACAAGGUGACAUCUUCCAGCGAAGCAUGGCUGUGGAUGGAGCCAGAUGAGUCCCUUCCACCUCACAUAGAUGUUGGCUCACUCCAUCCACGCUCACCACCAGCAGUGUCCCCAGACGGGGAUGCUUGCAGCUCCAUCGCUCAAUAGCCCUUUGUUUAUCUCACAACUUGUAACUUCAUAAUCCAUCUGCUCUGGGCUGCCCAUCCUCCCUGAGCAUGCUAUAGGAGCUGAGCUGUUCCUUCCCUGAGAGCCGGCUUGGAAAAAUGUCCCCUGGCUCCACCACUUUUUCACACAGAGAAAGGAAUCCAUUUACACCUUCCUCCUAUUUAAUUUGGCUCCCAACAGAUCUGUUUUAUAGGGCUGUCUGCUCCGGGAACAGGGAUUUUUGGAGUUUUUAUUCCCUCCAGAUGUUCUGACUGUCUUUGGUAAUCCCUUUGGUGUAAGCAUUAGGCAGUGUCUUCUGUCUUUGCAGGCUAUGGUAGGAUGGUUUGCUCCUGGGUACAAACACUAAUUACAAAUGAAAUGGAGAUGUGAUUCAGAGCAAAAGCUGGGCACAAAGUUUUAUGAGACCUCAAACACUUCCUCUGUCCUCUGAACUGGGCUAAAAAAAUCAAAAACAAAAAGGAAAAGAAUUGGAGGGCACCACAUUCUCUCACCAGUAGCUGCUUAAUGUUGCUCAAUCCUUUCCUCCAGGGAAAUAAAAAAUCAGGAAAAUCAUUCUCAUGGCUCUCUGCAACGACCUGAAAGGAGGCUGUGUGAAGUGGGGUUGGCCUCUGCUCCCAGGGAACAGCCAUAGGACGAGAGGGGAUGGCCUGACGUUGUGCCAGGGGAGGUUCAGGUUGGCUGUUAGGAACAAUUCCUUCUCCCAGAGAGCGGUGAGGCAGUGGCACAGCUGCCCAGGGAGUGGUGGGGUCACCGUCCCUGGAGGUGUUCAGGAACCGUGGGGAUGUGGCACUGAGGGACGUGGUUUGUGGGCACGGUGGGUGUGGGCUGGGGUUGGACUGGAUGGUCUUUUCCAACCCUUAUAAGUAUACGAUUCUAUGGUUCCAUGAUUCUGUGAUUCUAUAUGAUCCGCCUUUUUUGAGUACUUCCACACAACAAGUAGAGGUAAGCUGGAGCGCGAAGAAAGAAUCAUCAUUUAUGGUUCUUUUGCUGGGUUUGCAAUGUGGAAAUAGCCCAAGAGGUCUGUAUCUCUCAGCUCAGAAAACAGAUUGGGCAUUGAUUUCCUCAGCCCCCAGCUGUCCCAGUUCCCAGAUACCUACAGGUGUUGAGAAGUGCCUCUGCUCCUGCUCUGCCCUUCCCUGGCUGCUUUGGACAGUGAGGGCUAUGAUGGACUCCAUCCCUCCAUCCUGCUUGGACAGUGCACAGGAGGACCAUUCGUUCUGCAAGACGAAAGCUGGCAGAAAACAGGAUUCCUUUGUGGAAAGCAAGUUGAAUUUGACUGGUUUGGGAUCAGUUUGCUCAUUAAAAAGUCAGAGCUUG
ensembl:lncRNA